rnacentral:rRNA from 1 species
CUCGUAGGUGGUUGGUCACGUCUGCUGUGGAAACGCAACGCUUAACGUUGCGCGUGCAGUGGGUACGGGCUGACUAGAGUGCAGUAGGGGAGUCUGGAAUUCCUGGUGUAGCGGUGAAAUGCGCAGAUAUCAGGAGGAACACCGGUGGCGAAGGCGGGACUCUGGGCUGUAACUGACGCUGAGGUACGAAAGAAUGGGGAGCAAACAGGAUUAGAUACCCGAGUA